rnacentral:rRNA from 1 species
GUGUCAGCAGCCGCGGUAAUACGGAGGGUGCGAGCGUUGUCCGGAAUCACUGGGCGUAAAGGGCGCGUAGGCGGCGGGGUAAGCGUGCGGUGAAAGCUCGGGGCUCAACUCCGAGUCGGCCGUGCGAACUGUCCCGCUGGAGCACAGUAGAGGCAGGCGGAAUUCCGGGUGUAGCGGUGGAAUGCGUAGAGAUCCGGAAGAACACCGGUGGCGAAGGCGGCCUGCUGGGCUGUGGCUGACGCUGAGGCGCGACAGCGUGGGGAGCAAACAGGAUUAGAUACCCUGGUAGUCCACGCCGUAAACGAUGGGCACUAGGUGCUUGGGGGAGCGACCCCCUGAGUGCCGGCGCUAACGCAUUAAGUGCCCCGCCUGGGGAGUACGGCCGCAAGGCUGAA